UCAGAGGACUUACCUUGGCCUCAUAUUCCACCUGCAUAUUAGCACAAUUCAAUAGGCACCCUAGCAAUCACAUCACAGAUCGAUAUCUCGAUCAAUCGACCUAGUCGAUUACAUGUCAAUCGGACUAUUUAAAGUCACUUCUCAAUAUAAAACCUCCCAUUUGCACUCUCAGUCACAGAGCUAUAGUAAUGCUCUCGGGUAUCG
rnacentral:lncRNA from 1 species